rnacentral:rRNA from 1 species
UACAGAGGUCUAAAGCGUUGUUCGGAUUCAUUGGGCGUAAAGGGUGCGUAGGCGGCGCGGUAAGUCGGGUGUGAAAUCUCGGAGCUUAACUCCGAAACUGCAUUCGAUACUGCCGUGCUUGAGGACUGGAGAGGAGACUGGAAUUUACGGUGUAGCGGUGAAAUGCGUAGAUAUCGUAAGGAAGACCAGUGGCGAAGGCGGGUCUCUGGACAGUUCCUGACGCUGAGGCACGAAGGUCAGGGGAGCAAACGGG